rnacentral:rRNA from 1 species
CCAAUAGCGUAUAUUAAAGUUGUUGCAGUUAAAAAGCUCGUAGUUGAACUUCGGGAUUUACCCAUUGGUCAGGCUUAAUUGUCUGUACUGGUGAGAUGAAUCUCUACCUUCUGAGGAACUUUCAUGCCAUUUAUUUGGUGUGAUUGGAAAUCAGGACUAUUACUUUGAAAAAAUUAGAGUGUUUAAAGCAGGCUAACGUCUGAAUACAUUAGCAUGGAAUAAUGAAAUAGGACGGACUGAUUCUAUUUCGUUGGUUUCUAGGAUCACCGUAAUGAUUAAUAGGGAUAGUUGGGGGCAUUAGUAUUCAAUUGUCAGAGGUGAAAUUCUUGGAUUUAUUGAAGACUAACUACUGCGAAAGCAUUUGCCAGGGAUGUUUUCAUUAAUCAAGAACGAAAGUUAGGGGAUCGAAGACGAUCAGAUACCGUCGUAGUCUUAACCAUAAACUAUGCCGACUAGGGAUCGGACGAAGUUAAUUUCAUAAUGACGCGUUCGGCACCUUAC